CCUACGGGUGGCAGCAGUGGGGAAUAUUGCACAAUGGGGGAAACCCUGAUGCAGCAACGCCGCGUGAGUGAGGAAGUAUUUCGGUAUGUAAAGCUCUAUCAGCAGGGAAGAAAAUGACGGUACCUGCGUAAGAAGCCCCGGCUAACUACGUGCCAGCAGCCGCGGUAAUACGUAGGGGGCAAGCGUUAUCCGGAUUUACUGGGUGGAAAGGGAGCGUAGACGGCAGUGCAAGUCUGUAGUGAAAGGCGGGGGCGCAACCCCCGGACUGCUCUGGAAACUGUACGGCUGGAGUGCAGGAGAGGUAAGUGGAAUUCCUAGUGUAGCGGUGAAAUGCGUAGAUAUUAGGAGGAACACCAGUGGCGAAGGCGGCUUACUGGACUGUAACUGACGUUGAGGCUCGAAAGCGUGGGGAGCAAACAGGAUUAGAUACCCUAGUAGUC
rnacentral:rRNA from 1 species